UGAAGAAGGUAACUUUUCGAGUUGGCUCUUGUCUAUGUUCCUUGGAACAGGACGUCACAGAGGGUGAGAAUCCCGUGCGAUGAGAUGCCCAAUUCUAUGUAAAGUGCUUUCGAAGAGUCGAGUUGUUUGGGAAUGCAGCUCUAAGUGGGUGGUAAAUUCCAUCUAAAGCUAAAUAUUGGCGAGAGACCGAUAGCGAACAAGUACAGUGAUGGAAAGAUGAAAAGAACUUUGAAAAGACAGUGAAAAAGUACGUGAAAUUGUUGAAAGGGAAGGGCUUGAGAUCAGACUUGGUAUUUUGCGAUCCUUUCCUUCUUGGUUGGGUUCCUCGCAGCUUACUGGGCCAGCAUCGGUUUGGAUGGUAGGAUAAUGACUAAGGAAUGUGGCUCUACUUCGGUGGAGUGUUAUAGCCUUGGUUGAUACUGCCUGUCUAGACCGAGGACUGCGUCUUUUGACUAGGAUGUUGGCAUAAUGAUCUUAAGCCACCCGUCUUGAAACACGGACCAAGGAGUCUAACGUCUAUGCGAGUGUUUGGGUGUAAAACCCGUACGCGUAAUGAAAGUGAACGUAGGUGAGAGCUCUUAAGAGUGCAUCA
rnacentral:rRNA from 1 species